rnacentral:rRNA from 1 species
AUUGAACGCUGGCGGAAUGCUUUACACAUGCAAGUCGAACGGCAGCACGGACUUCGGUCUGGUGGCGAGUGGCGAACGGGUGAGUAAUGUAUCGGAACGUGCCCAGUCGUGGGGGAUAACGUAGUGAAAGUUACGCUAAUACCGCAUACGAUCUAUGGAUGAAAGCGGGGGAUCGCAAGACCUCGCGUGAUUGGAGCGGCCGAUAUCAGAUUAGGUAGUUGGUGGGGUAAAGGCCCACCAAGCCAACGAUCUGUAGCUGGUCUGAGAGGACGACCAGCCACACUGGAACGGGGACCCGGUCCAGACUCCGACGGGAGGCAGCAGUGGGGAAUUUUGGACAAUGGGCGAAAGCCGGAUCCAGCCAUUCCGCGUGCAGGAUGAAGGCCCUCGGGUUGUAAACUGCUUUUGUACAGAACGAAAAGGUUUCUACUAAUACUAGGAGCUCAUGACGGUACCGUAAGAAUAAGCACCGGCUAACUACGUGCCAUCAGCCGCCGUAA